AUUGAACGCUGGCGGCAGGCCUAACACAUGCAAGUCGAACGAGUGGCGGACGGGUGCGUACUGUCUGGGAACCUGCCUGAUGGAGGGGGAUAACUACUGGAAACGUUAGCUAAUACCGCAUACCAUCGGAUGUGCCCCGAUGGGAUUAGCUAGUAGGUGGGGUAACGGCUCACCUAGGCGACGAUCCCUAGCUGGUCUGAGAGGAUGACCAGCCACACUGGAACUGAGACACGGUCCAGACUCCUAUGGGAGGCAGCAGUGGGGAAUAUUGCACAAUGGGCGCAAGCCUGAUGCAGCCAUGCCGCGUGUAUGAAGAAGGCCUUCGGGUUGUAAAGUACUUUCAGCGGGGAGGCGUUACCCGCAGAAGAAGCACCGGCUAACUCCGUGCCAGCAGCCGCGGUAAUUC
rnacentral:rRNA from 1 species